rnacentral:rRNA from 1 species
GACAGAGGUGGCGAGCGUUGUUCGGAAUUACUGGGCUUAAAGGGCGAGUAGGCGGUGGAGCAAGUCUGAGGUGGAAUCCUAUGGCUUAACUAUAGAACUGCCUUGGAUACUGUUUCACUUGAGUCAGUGAGGGGAGGGCGGAAUUCCCGGUGUAGCGGUGAAAUGCGUAGAUAUCGGGAGGAAGGCCAGUGGCGAAGGCGGCCCUCUGGCGCUGAACUGACGCUGAGGCGCGAAAGCGUGGGGAGCAAAC